rnacentral:rRNA from 1 species
AACGAACGCUGGCGGCAUGCCUAACACAUGCAAGUCGAACGAGACCUUCGGGUCUAGUGGCGCACGGGUGCGUAACGCGUGGGAACUUGCCCUUAGGUUCGGAAUAACUCCCCGAAAGGGGUGCUAAUACCGGAUAAUGUCUUCGGACCAAAGAUUUAUCGCCUUUGGAUGGGCCCGCGUUGGAUUAGCUAGUUGGUAGGGUAAAAGCCUACCAAGGCGACGAUCCAUAGCUGGUCUGAGAGGAUGAUCAGCCACACUGGGACUGAGACACGGCCCAGACUCCUACGGGAGGCAGCAGUGGGGAAUAUUGGACAAUGGGCGAAAGCCUGAUCCAGCAAUGCCGCGUGAGUGAUGAAGGCCUUAGGGUUGUAAAGCUCUUUUACCCGGGAUGAUAAUGACAGUACCGGGAGAAUAAGCGCCGGCUAACUCCGUG